rnacentral:SRP_RNA from 1 species
GCCAGGCGUGGUGGCGCACGCCUGUAAUCCCAGCUACUCAGGAGGCUGAGGCAGGAGAAUCGCUUGAAGCUGGGAGGCGGAGGUUGCAGUGAGCCGAGAUCGCGCCACUGCACUCUAGCCUGGGUGACAGAGCGAGACUCUGUCUCAA